rnacentral:rRNA from 1 species
AAAACUUUCAACAACGGAUCUCUUGGUUCUGGCAUCGAUGAAGAACGCAGCGAAAUGCGAUAAGUAAUGUGAAUGCAGAUUCAGUGAAUCAUCGAAUCUUUGAACGCACAUUGCGCCCUVUGGUAUUCCGGGGGGCAUGCCUGUUCGAGCGUCAUUG